UCCUCUCCCUCCCAUCCGUCCCCUCGUCCUCUCCGGCCCUCCUCUCCCUCUUGCAUCCGUCCUCUCCCUCCUCUCCAGCCAUGAAACCCUAGAUUGGGUCGGGGAUGGCGCAGAGGAAUAGAUGAGGUAGUACAAGGCCGGCGGGAGGCCGGAUCGAUCAUGGGUGCUGGGCACUGGAUGGCUGAGAUUGAGGGGGCCCAUCGAGUUCUUGUGCCCGCCGCUGCGUUCGUUACGGGGCUGUUGCUUGUGUACGAGUCUAAGUUUGGAGAUAUGACGGGGACUGAGCGGCAAGUAGAGAUGAAGAACAACUUGUCCCAAGCCAAGCAUGCAGUUCAAGUUCUGAACCGUUCGCUUCUACUAUUGGGAUCCAGUGUUUUGGAAUUUGACCAUGUUGUGAGCAACUUCUCGCUCUUGGACCCAACAGCACAUGCUGAAGCAGAAAGUUCACUGUGUGAGGCAGCUAAUAUGUGCCGGUUAAUUCAGACCUUUGCCGGCGUUCUGCAGUUCCACCUAGAGGCUUUUCAAGAGAUCUACAGUUCUGGCGUGUUGUUCCGCACCCCCAGUAACCAGGAGUGAAGUAUUUGGCCUGCAGGGUAACAUCAAAGUUGUUGCUUUGGACAAGUCGUGGUAGCAGGGAAAGGCUUGCUUCAUUUGAAGCAGCUUAAUUCGCCAAGGUUCCUGUGGAGUAGAUUCGUACGUAGUUGGUGCUAGUAAAAUGAACGCUGGAACUGUUGGCAUGGGUGUUUUAGCCCCGCCCCUUCUCGGGUCUACUUUGAGACCGUAGAUUUGAGGAUUUUUGUUCAAAA